GAUGAACGCUGGCGGCGUGCCUAAUACAUGCAAGUCGAGCGAACAGACGAGGAGCUUGCUCCUCUGACGUUAGCGGCGGACGGGUGAGUAACACGUGGAUAACCUACCUAUAAGACUGGGAUAACUUCGGGAAACCGGAGCUAAUACCGGAUAAUAUAUUGAACCGCAUGGUUCAAUAGUGAAAGACGGUUUUGCUGUCACUUAUAGAUGGAUCCGCGCCGCAUUAGCUAGUUGGUAAGGUAACGGCUUACCAAGGCAACGAUGCGUAGCCGACCUGAGAGGGUGGUCGGCCACACUGGAACUGGGACACGGUCCAGGCUCCUACGGGAGGCAGCAGUAGGGAAUCGUCCGCAAUAGGCGAAAACCUGACGGAACAACGCCGCGUGAGUUAUGAAGGUCUUCGGAUCGGAAAACUCUGUUAUUGGGGAAGAACAAAUGUGUAAGUAACUAUGGACGUCUUGACGGUACCUAAUCAGAAAGCCACGGCUAACUACGUG
rnacentral:rRNA from 1 species